UCCAGACUCCUACGGGAGGCAGCAGUGGGGAAUACUGGGCAAUGGGCGCAAGCCUGACCCAGCAACGCCGCGUGAAGGAAGAAGGCUUUCGGGUUGUAAACUUCUUUUGUCAGGGAAGAGCAGAAGACGGUACCUGACGAAUAAGCCACGGCUAACUACGUGCCAGCAGCCGCGGUAAUACGUAGGUGGCAAGCGUUGUCCGGAUUUACUGGGUGUAAAGGGCGUGUAGCCGGGUUGACAAGUCAGAUGUGAAAUCCGUGGGCUUAACCCGCGAACUGCAUUUGAAACUAUUGGUCUUGAGUGCCGGAGAGGUAAUCGGAAUUCCUUGUGUAGCGGUGAAAUGCGUAGAUAUAAGGAAGAACACCAGUGGCGAAGGCGGAUUACUGGACGGUAACUGACGGUGAGGCGCGAAAGCGUGGGGAGCAAACAGGAUUAGAUACCCGUGUAA
rnacentral:rRNA from 1 species